AAAAAGAGCUUCUGUCGUGAGUGGCACACAUAGGGUGGCCUGAUUGCUCUACAAGCGGAAUCGACAUCAAGAGAUUUUAGAAGCACAAUUUUUUGGUACCUGGGCAGCUAGUGAUCAUUGGUCCUUGCACCUGU